AAAUGCGGAAGAGAUAAGUGCUGAAAGCAUCUAAGCACGAAACUUGCCCCGAGAUGAGUUCUCCCUGAGACUUAAAGUCUCCUGAAGGAACGUUGAAGACGACGACGUUGAUAGGCCGGGUGUGUAAGCGCAGCGAUGCGUUGAGCUAACCGGUACUAAUGAACCGUGAGGCUUAACCUUACAACGCCGAAG
rnacentral:rRNA from 2 species